UUAGAAAGAACCCAUUGUUCAUGAAAUUAUAUCUCACAUAGCUUCCUCUCUCCACCCAAAAGAAGUACCAUGCCUCAUCCUCCCUCUGCGCGUCUCUGAUCACCAAGGAGCAGCUCCCCUUGCCGGGAUCCCCAGUGAGCUGGAAUCGGUCCCGGGUGCUCAUUUCCACCUCUCGACUCUGGUUGUUUGUGGCCACAGGAGCACCCGUCUUUGGGCUGGUCCAUCGUUUGAACCAGUAGCCAUAAGCAGCAGUAGACUCGUCCCAGCCAUCCCGGGGGUAGGAGAGGUUGCAAGACACGAUGACACACAAGCCCUCCGGCACCGGCACCUGCCUCUGCACUUGAAGACUGUAACUGGGAUCCUUGUUCAGGGACCCUGGGGAGAUGCAGAGGCUCAGCGGCAGCCCCAGCCCCUGCCUGGGACCCCCAGCCACCGACCCACUCACCAGCCCCCAGCACGGGCAGCAGCAGGGGCAGCAGCAGCAUCUCUGGGCUCUGGGGCUGGGCCUGUCCCAGGACCAUCUGGCUUCUGGGCCAGCCUGGCUGGGAAGGAAACUCCUCCAGCAGGAAGCCUGGUGGAGGGGCAGUGACCAUCCGCAGAGGAGGAGCCUCGGGAACCGCUAUGUCCUGAAAGCUCGCCUCCCAACUUCUCCUUUCACAGGGGAAGCAGCAGGGCAGAGGGCAUGAGGACCAGCCCCAAACCAGGAAGGAGCCACCCUGGCCAGCCUCGGAGGUGGGCAGUGCUAGGAGGGGACUGUCAGGGGACACAGGAGAUGAUGAACUUGAUCACCGUCUUACUGAGCACAUUGCCGCUGCAGCCAGCAACUGAGAAGCCAGCGCACAAGGACUCUCUACAACCAAGGAACUCAUACAGAACCUUCAUCCCUGAAAGCACCAAGACCUGAA
rnacentral:lncRNA from 1 species